GCGUUGUAUACGAGCAGAAGCCGUACCGUGAGGAGCGGUGGAUUGUAUAGAAGUGAGAAUGCCGGUGUGAGUAGCGAGAUGUAGGUGAGAAUCCUACACACCGAAAGCCCAAGGAUUCCAGGGGAAGGUUCGUCCGCCCUGGGUAAGUCGGGACCUAACGCGAGGCCGAAAGGCGUAGUGGAUGGAAAGCAGGCGAAAGAUUCCUGCACCCGUAUAUGGAGCGAAGGAGUGACGGAGACGGAUAGUGUGACCCUCUUAAUGGAUUGAGGGCGAAGCGAAGCGGCUGGUUACCAGGCAAAUCCGGUAACUGAAAGGCUAGAGCGUGACAGGUAAGCGAAAUCUUUGGAAAGUAGCGAAGCACAUGAUGACGGCUUCCAGGAAAAGCUUCUGGCAAUGCAUAUGCGGCCCGUACCAAAACCGACACAGGUGGGCAGGGAGAGAAUCCCGAGGUGAGCGAGAGAACUGUUGCCAAGGAACUCGGCAAAAUGACUCCGUAAGUUAGCGAGAAGGAGUGCUUAAGCAAUUAAGCCGCAGUGAAGAGGCCCAAGCGACUGUUUAACUAAAACACAGCUCUCUGCGAAGUCGCAAGACGAAGUAUAGGGGGUGACACCUGCCCGGUGCUGGAAGGUUAAGAGGAUCUGUUAAGAGCGAUCUGAAGCAGUGAUCCGAAGCCCCAGUGAACGGCGGCCGUAACUAUAACGGUCCUAAGGUAGCGAAAUUCCUUGUCAGGUAAGUUCUGACCCGCACGAAAGGUGUAACGAUUUGGGCGCUGUCUCGGCAGCAGACUCGGUGAAAUCUUAGUACCUGUGAAAAUGCAGGUUACCCGCAACUAGACGGAAAGACCCCAUGGAGCUUUACUGCAGCCUGAUAUUGAAUUCUGGUCAUACAUGUACAGGAUAGGUGGGAGACAAAGAGACGUGCACGCCAGUGUACGAGGAGUCGCCGUUGGGAUACCACUCUUGUGUGACCGGGGUUCUAACCUGGUAUCGAGAACAGGUACGGGGAGAGUGUCAGGUGGGCAGUUUGACUGGGGCGGUCGCCUCCCAAAGAGUAACGGAGGCGCCCAAAGGUACGCUCAGAUUGGAUGGAAACCAAUCGACGAGUGCAAUUGCAGAAGCGUGCUUGACUGUGAGACAGACAAGUCGAACAGGGACGAAAGUCGGGAAUAGUGAUCCGGCGGUGCCGAAUGGAAGGGCCGUCGCUCAACGGAUAAAAGCUACCCU
rnacentral:rRNA from 1 species